UCUUGUUAUCAGCAAAUUUGCAAAAGUUUCCUAAAGAAGUAAUUUGGGAUAAUUGGGGUACUGAUUAAUUCAGCAGCAAACUGUUUUUCUUAUGAAUUGAUCUACCCUUCCAAGAUUGGACAAAAGAGACCUUGUCAGGGUAACUCAAAUAUUACUGAGUUAAGCAGAACUGAAUUUCCACUUGCUGCUAUACGUGGAGAAGGAAUGAUAGCAAAAAGAGGAGAGAAAAGAUACUUUCAUACAUAGAAAAAAUAAUUCUGGACAUGUUAACAGUCUCUCAUAUUCAACACAACAUGUCAUCUUUGCCUCUCAAGCUACUCUUCUGGUUUCCUGAUUUGGUGAAUUGAAGUAUGAGUCACUUACUUAUACAAGAUUCAAAAUAGAAUUACACUACAUUUCUCUUCCUCUUUUACCCUGGACAUCCAAUCCAUACUCAAGUGCUUUCAUUUCUAGCUCCUACGUGACUUUUCUCUUCAUCCAUUCUCUCAAUGCAAUCAAUGCCAUGUUCACGCUCUUUUGAUCCACUCCCUAGAUAAAUUUAAUAGCCUCCUUAUUAAUGUCUCUGGCUCCAGCUUCACCCCAUCCAAUGCAGUGUCAGCCUUCUACCCAAGAGUAAUCUUCAUAAUUGCAAAAAUCUUAUCAUGUCACUUCCUUCCACAGUACCCUUCUCUGGUCUACCAUACAUAAAAUCUAAACUUAAGCAUGGAAAAAACUAUGACUAUCGCUUUAAUAUUUUGAAAGGAAGGAAAUUACAAUCUUUCACUAGAAAGAUAUCUUUGCAUUAGAAUGUCAAUUUCUCACUACAGUCUAGAAUGAUAAUAAAAAGCACUUUAUUUUUCCUUUUGAAUCACUGAUACGUUUCCAUAUUAAGCCCAUCACAGUUGGGCACUGGGGAAGACAUACUCAUGCGCUGUGAGUAGGCAGAAUGGGUCAGCACUUCAGAAGCUUCAAGUUUUCCUCAUAGGAGAAACUAAAGAAGGAAACAAAAUGACCUGACUGGAUCCAGCCUCUGAUUGACACCCGAGAUAAUCAUCCCCUUGUCUCCACAUGAUUACCAGUUCUUAAAGCACAAUACCAUAUGAAGUAUACUGACAAAUUGCUUGUCUUUUUUUCUUCAAUCUAUUAAGUCUUUUUCUACUUCCCUAAUCUGUUGUGGGCCACUAUAUGAGUAUAGUGAUGUGUUUAGGAAGACACAUAAGUAAACUACUCUGGGAUGAGAUGUGGGGUGGUGAAGGAAAUUUCCCAUGUAAAUAUAUAUGGUUUUUUAUGAUCACAAUCCUGCUACAAUAUCCAGUCACACCUUCCACUACUCACAUUCUCACUCAUGUUACUCUAGCAACAUUGAACUCU
rnacentral:lncRNA from 1 species